ensembl:lncRNA
CAUGACAGAUCAGCAUUUGGCUCCUUGUCAAACCUGGAGCAACGCUUACUCACCAAUUUUUCUAGCCCUGAAAAUUCUCCUGCAGGCCUUAAGGGGGCACCAUAUCCUGGUCCGUUCAGACAACAUGACCGAGGUGGCCUUUAUCAAUCACCAAGGCUGUCUCAGGUCAUACUCCCUUCACAUCUUGGCUCGAUGCCUCCUUUUAUGGGCACAAUGCAAACUCCUCUCGCUGAGAGCAGUUCAUGUGCCAGGCAGACUGAACCAAGGGAUAGACAUGCUGUCCAGGGGCAAUGUGGCUCCAGGAGAAUGGAGACUACAUCUCCAAAUGGUUCAAAUGACCUGGUCUGUCUUCGGCAGGGCAGAGGUGGACAUCUUAGUCUCAGAAGACAACUUCCACUGCCCAAUUUACUUUUGGAAACAGCGAAAUGCCCUGGCCCACGACUGGCCCAACGCUUACCAGUAUGCCUUCCCCCUGGUUGCCCUGCUUCCUCAGGACAUCAGAUGGGUCAGGAAAAUCAGAUGUUCGGUCCUCUUGGUGGCCCCACUCUGGAGGAAUCAAAUGUGGUUCAACGAGUUGAUUCAUCUGCUAUUGGCAGCCCCCUGGCCAAUAACACUGUGGACGGACCUUCUCUUGCAAACGAAGGCCAUGAUUCAGCAUCCCCGGCCAGAGCUGUGGAGCCUUCAUGUUUGGCCCCUUGACGGGAGUCACUGCAGCAACCAUUUUGGAGGCUAGAGCCCCAUCUACAAGACGUCUUUAUGCCCUUGGUCAGUCCUCUCUGGUGGUGUGCAGCCAUCGUGCGAAUCAUUCUCUCGUGGCUGGCCAGUCAAUCGGCAGAAAUGACCAAGUCGUUAAGUUUAUGAGGAGAGCUUGGAGAUUUCCGCUUCGUCCUCAUUCUGUGCAGACUUUGGACUUAUCUAUAGUCCUCAGGUCGACUUCGGGGCCCUGCCUUUGAGCUGCUCCUGUCGACCGACUUGCAAUGCCUGUCACUUAAGACCAUCCUCCUUCUGGCUUUAGCGUUGGGCAAGCAAGUGGGUGC